ACGCCGUUUCUUGAAUCGAGCCCUCUUCCUCCUCUUUCCCGAUCUCCCCUCCCUUCUCUCUGUUCUCUCUUGCGGACAGCCGACGCCGACAGGAUUAGGGCUCCAGCUCCAGCGAUCGUUGGUGUCACUUGAGGAGGAAGCUUCUGGAUUGAGCUCAGAUUCGACCGACGCCUUUCAUCUCCGGGCUGCAAACAUUCGCGUCUUCUUGCGCCGAUCACUGAGGCCAUUGAAUCGAGCGAGAUCCACUCAGUCGCCGAUGUGGAAGAGCAAUUAGGGCUUCAAGGGUAAGCAAUUCGAACCUUAUCCCUUCUAUUUCUCCGAUCUGUGCCCUAGCAUUGCCUGUGAUUCCCCGAUCUCUUCUCUGGCUGAUGGCGAGGUGCACAAGGUCACCCUAGCAGCGAUCUUGGAGGUCACGGAUUGGAGGCAUUGAAGAUCAGUGAGUUUGUUCUUGAGCUGUCGGGCAGAGUCUAGGUUUGUAAUUGAUCAGUGAUGAUCUUCCGAUUGGGUGAUUUCUUCUGGAGACAACCUUUUGAGAUCAGCUUCUUUGCUGUGUUUGAGGUAUCGGUUGAAGUGGGAAAGAAUUCCAACAAGUGUUGUAUUCUAUGAUCGAAAAUUGAGUGUUGUGGAUCAACAAGCGUGGCUGUGAAGUUUUGUUUUGUGCUGUGGUGUUCUUUGAUCCUUUCUUGGUUCCGGCAGCACACCAACCAACAGCCUCCUAGUUCCAACAUCAACAAUAGCUGGGAUUGAGGACUCUGAUUCGAGACGGGCGUCUGGACCUUGGAUUGCUUGAUUGUACCUUCUUUUUGAGG